rnacentral:rRNA from 1 species
AACGAACGCUGGCGGCAUGCCUAACACAUGCAAGUCGAACGAGACCUUCGGGUCUAGUGGCGCACGAGUGCGUAACGCGUGGGAACCUGCCCUUAGGUUCGGAAUAACUCCCCGAAAGGGGUGCUAAUACCGGAUAAUGUCUUCGGACCAAAGAUUUAUCGCCUUUGGAUGGGCCCGCGUUGGAUUAGCUAGUUGGUAGGGUAAAAGCCUACCAAGGCGACGAUCCAUAGCUGGUCUGAGAGGAUGAUCAGCCACACUGGGACUGAGACACGGCCCAGACUCCUACGGGAGGCAGCAGUGGGGAAUAUUGGACAAUGGGCGAAAGCCUGAUCCAGCAAUGCCGCGUGAGUGAUGAAGGCCUUAGGGUUGUAAAGCUCUUUUACCCGGGAUGAUAAUGACAGUACCGUGAGAAUAAGCUCCGGCUAACUCCGUG